ACGUAGGAGGCAAACGUUAUCCGGAUUUACUGGGCGUAAAGCGCGUGUAGGUGGUUUGGUAAGUAGAGCGUGAAAGCUCCUGGCUCAACUGGGAGAGGUCGUUCUAAACUGCCGGACUAGAGGAUGGUAGAGGGAGGUGGAAUUCCGGGUGUAGCGGUAGAAUGCGCAGAUAUCCGAAGGAACACCGAUGGCGAAAGCGGCCUCCUGGCCCACUACUGACGCUCAGACGCGAAAGCUAGGGUAGCAACCGG
rnacentral:rRNA from 1 species